UGUUGGAGUACUCUUUCCUGGAGAUGCAUCACCAGUGGGCUGCCCAAGCAACAUUGCGAGCUGUCUGUAUAGCAAAGACUCAAAAUGAUCAGUUUGUCCAACUCCAUUAUCAGUUUUGCACGAGGGUAAUCUGUCGAAGCUCUCAUUUGAUGAGGGUAAAGCAGCAAAAAGGUGACCUCCUGAAAAUCUCCACUCCUCGCUCCCUCUCCCACGCUGCAAGUGCAAAAUCACAACACGCCGUUACCGCCAUGAGGCCGCCGCCGCCGCCGCAGGCCCUAUCGCCAGAGCAUAGCACCAGCACGAAGCCGUCGUCCGCGGCGAAGAGGGCGUUCACGAGCCGGACGGCGCUGUCCACCAAGGGCCACGAGGCGCCACCCGAGCGCAAAAAGAGGAAGACGCCGCCGCCCGAGUCAACGCCAGCCAAGGCCUCGGAUGCCACAGAGCCGUCAUCCAAGAAGAAGCUCGUGCUAUUCGGGCGCGCGUGCCGCCCCGACGACGAGGCUCGCGUCCCAGAGACCCUCGCCGCGCCCUGCUGCGCCGGCGGCGGCGAGCAAUCUAGCAAGGGCGCCGCCCAAGUGAAGAACGCCGGGCAUCAAUCCAUCAAUGACGCGCUGGGGCACAAGGCCAAGACUUUAGAUGAGAUGCGCGAAUUGUAUCCUCACCUCGUCGAUGAGUCGAUGGCCCUUCUUGACCCGGCGGUGCUGGAGAGGGUGCUACCCCGCAUUGAUGACAACGAGGCCCAGGCGUUGGACAAGAAGAUCAAGAGGGCGAGGAGGCAGCUCACCAAGGCCAUCAGGGAAUCGGCAAUGAUGAAAAACAUGGAAACAUCUGUUGUAUUUCUUUGUGAGGCUACUAGGCUUCAAAUGGAAAAGCCAAGAAUGGAUAAACAGGAUGGUCUGGAUAUAUGUGCUCAAGAACGAUUGGCACGAGUGGAACGUGAAAUAGUGGAACUGAGACAGAUUGUGAUAGAUUCUCACUAUCAGGCAACGAUACAAAGCAAUCUACUCCAUGAUAAUUCAUCAUUGAAGGGUGUAAGAUGUAAAUCUGAAGAGAGUCACCCUCAACUGGCUGUAGCUGAAAAUCAGAUUCCACACAAAAUACUACAAAAGAAGAUCGAUGUGCCAAAUGGCUUCCCCCAUGAAAAGAAUGAGGAGGUUACAUCUAAGUAUAAAUAUGAUGGUGUCGUUCCCCCAAGAAACCCACAUGAUAAUCUGGUUAUCUCCUGCUUUUGUUACUUUUCUAUUUAGACAUGAAACAAACAAUUUGGUGAAAAGUAGAGAACUCUUUGGUUUUAACAGAAAUCAAUAUGAGAAGGCAAACAAACCCCAUCGAUACCCACUCCUAGAGCGAAAAACAUGUCCAGUUGUGCAUCAUCAUUAAGCAAGCUUACGCUCAAAUUUAUGAUGUCUUGGGGGACAUCCUCUUGGUUUCAAAAAAAAAAUCAUUUUUUAGUUUAAACUUGAAAACCUCUAAAAGUGUGAUACAAUAUUUCCAAACUACCGUUGUGUUUUCAAUGGAGAGCAGCCUUGUUCUAGCAUGGUCAUCAAGUGGGUCAAGGAGGAGUCUCACAUCUGGUGUAGGGCUGGAGCUAGUGGAUUAGACAGCAUCCUUUCCGCUCCAGCGCACUAAUCGGCGACCUUCUGUUUUGGGUUUCCAUGGUCAUGAGUACAGAAACUGCAAGGGUUGAUAAAGCCACCAUUCAAUACAUUUCAUGGCCGGACAAGAAAGGUUGACGCGGAAAGUCAGACUGGGCCCAAUAUGGAUGGCAAAGAGGUUGUGUUGCAUUCAAUAGUUUGGCCACAUACUCCAGUAGGCAAGGCUAUUCUUCAGAGCAGUUCGCCGUCUACAAUAGUAGGUGGCGUGAGAAUUGGAACUGAAUGUUGUAAGGUUUUUUUGAGUGAGGUGUUAAAAAGCGAUGCUCCACUGUUUCGGCAAAAUGGGGAGAUGAAGAUGUUUGAUGCACUUAAGUGUUCAAUUGCAUGGCCAAAUACCCUAGUCCAAAGAUAAUACCAUUGCUAGCAAGGCAGUACCUGACCGACCGUAUCAUCAAGGAAAUCAAAAUUAAUUUCUGAAAAAUUACAUGGAACUAUGAUUUUCUUGGUGUCUCUGACAAUUGCUUCAAGAUGGAAUGCAUAAGCUCCAUCAACGGCCAUUUGUCAUCGACAAAGCUCGUUCGGCAACUGAAUGGUGAUGUGUCAUUUUGCACAUAACGUGGAUGCCAAUAGUAAUAUUAUGAUUUUGAUCUUCAAACACAACACAUACUUUUGGUAUAGGAUGUUCUAAGGAAAAAACGUCUCAAGUUGCAUGUAACGAGUCUGUUUUGGCUUUUGUUCAUAUAUGGGUGACAAUGUGUGGUGUUACUAGACCACUGUUUGGUCAAUUGGAGUAACAAAUCUAGUGAUCUCUCUUGUUAUAGUGAUCUCUCUUGUUAGAGUUACUGUGGUUGUAUUGUAGUGGCCUCUUUGUGUAAUGGGCUUAGGUCUAACAAUUCUAUUAUAAAUAUGUCACCAACCCUAGUUAGGGUUAUGGGUGGCAAUGGGACCCAA